CCUACGGGUGGCAGCAGUGGGGUAUAUUGGGCAAUGGGCGCAAGCCUGACCCAGCAACGCCGCGUGAAGGAAGACGGCCCUCGGGUUGUAAAAUUCCUUUAUUCGGGACGCAACAAAUGACGGUACCGAAUGAAUAAGCCACGGCUAACUACGUGCCAGCAGCCGCGGUAAUCCGGAGGUGGCAAGCGUUAUCCGGAUUUCCUGGGUGUAAAGGGGUUGUGGGCGGGAGAGCAAGUCAGUCGGGAAAUUCGAGGGCUCAACCCUCGAACAGUGUUUGAAACUGUUCGUCUUGAGUGAGGGAGAGGCAGGCGGAAUGCCGUGUGUAGCGGUGAAAUGCGUAGAUAUACGGAGGAACACC
rnacentral:rRNA from 1 species